GGCCGUGCGCCCGAGUGGCUUAGGGAACCGUAUGCAAAACGGUGCGCACGGGUUCGAUUCGCGUCAUGGCCUCCA
rnacentral:tRNA from 1 species